rnacentral:misc_RNA from 1 species
AGUCGUAACAAGGUUUCCGUAGGUGAACCUGCGGAAGGAUCAUUACCGAGUGAGGGCCCUCUGGGUCCAACCUCCCACCCGUGUCUAUCGUACCUUGUUGCUUCGGCGGGCCCGCCGUUUCGACGGCCGCCGGGGAGGCCUCGCGCCCCCGGGCCCGCGCCCGCCGAAGACCCCAACAUGAACGCUGUUCUGAAAGUAUGCAGUCUGAGUUGAUUAUCAUAAUCAGUUAAAACUUUCAACAACGGAUCUCUUGGUUCCGGCAUCGAUGAAGAACGCAGCGAAAUGCGAUAAGUAAUGUGAAUUGCAGAAUUCAGUGAAUCAUCGAGUCUUUGAACGCACAUUGCGCCCCCUGGUAUUCCGGGGGGCAUGCCUGUCCGAGCGUCAUUGCUGCCCUCAAGCACGGCUUGUGUGUUGGGCCCCGUCCCCUCCCCCGGGGACGGGCCCGAAAGGCAGCGGCGGCACCGCGUCCGGUCCUCGAGCGUAUGGGGCUUUGUCACCCGCUCUGUAGGCCCGGCCGGCGCCAGCCGACACCCAACUUUAUUUUCUAAGGUUGACCUCGGAUCAGGUAGGGAUACCCGCUGAACUUAAGCAUAUCAAUAAGCGGAGGA